rnacentral:rRNA from 1 species
GACGAACGCUGGCGGCGUGCUUAACACAUGCAAGUCGAACGAUGAACUUGGAGCUUGCUCUGGGGGAUUAGUGGCGAACGGGUGAGUAACACGUGAGUAACCAGCCCUGGACUCUGGGAUAACUUCGAGAAAUCGGAGCUAAUACCGGAUAGGACCUUGCACCGCAUGGGUUGGGGGGGAAAGUUUUUCGGUUGGGGAUGGACUCGCGGCCUAUCAGCUUGUUGGUGGGGUAAUGGCUCACCAAGGCGUCGACGGGUAGCCGGCCUGAGAGGGUGACCGGCCACACUGGGACUGAGACACGGCCCAGACUCCUACGGGAGGCAGCAGUGGGGAAUAUUGCACAAUGGGCGCAAGCCUGAUGCAGCAACGCCGCGUGCGGGAUGACGGCCUUCGGGUUGUAAACCGCUUUUAGUAGGGAAGAAGCCUUCGGGUGACGGUACCUGCAGAAAAAGGACCGGCUAACUACGUGCCAGCCGCCGCCGUAACAC